rnacentral:rRNA from 1 species
UACGUAGGUGACAAGCGUUGUCCGGAUUUACUGGGCGUAAAGAGCGCGCAGGCGGUCGUUCAAGUCGAGUGUGAAAGCCCCCGGCUCAACUGGGGAGGGUCACUCGAUACUGAUCGACUCGAAGGCAGGAGAGGGUAGUGGAAUUCCCGGUGUAGUGGUGAAAUGCGUAGAUAUCGGGAGGAACACCAGUGGCGAAGGCGACUACCUGGCCUGUUAUUGACGCUGAGGCGCGAAAGCUAGGGGAGCAAACGGG